rnacentral:rRNA from 1 species
CACGUAGGGUGCGAGCGUUGUCCGGAAUUAUUGGGCGUAAAGAGCUCGUAGGCGGUCCGUCACGUCGGAUGUGAAAUUCCAGGGCUCAACCCUGGACCUGCAUUCGAUACGGGCGGACUAGAGUUCGGUAGGGGAGACUGGAAUUCCUGGUGUAGCGGUGAAAUGCGCAGAUAUCAGGAGGAACACCUGUGGCGAAAGCGGCUCACUGGACCACAACUGACGCUGAGGCGCGAAAGCUAGGGGAGCAAACAGG